GGAAAGUUGGUAGAGUGGUUGAUUACGUCCGCCUUGAAAGCGGAAGGCCAGAUGAAAAUGGUUCGUGGGUUCAAAUCCCACACUUUCCUCCA
rnacentral:tRNA from 1 species